rnacentral:lncRNA from 1 species
AAAUAACACUCUGUGAAGCCGUGGUCUUCUUGCGCGGGAUAGGGCACCUGAGGAAGCGGGCUGCGCCUGUGGCACAGUGGUACGGGGCCGGAAGAUAACUUACCUGAAGAGGCGAUCAAUCCCUGAGAAUCGCGGGCGACCCGUUUUUUGUGUGCCCGGGUGCGGGGUGCCGGGACACGGCGUUGAAGGCGCUGAGCGGAGGGAUCUCAGGGCGAGCUCGAGCGGCGACGGCGCGCUCUGUGAUUGCACCGCGAGCGCCUGAGGUGAUCUCGGCCUACAUCGCGUCAGCGGGGCCUUGGGCGUGAGCACCGCCCCCUGUCCGGACGCAGGGUACUGGGGCACCUCGAACUGUGGCACCUCACCCUUCUCCGGGGCCACGUCUUGGGGACUCCGACAGCCCCAAAUAAGCCCUCGGGGACUGGGGUUGUGAAAAGCGAGGUCGUGAAGACGCCGGCCUCAUACCGAAGGGUAGGACGGUGAGGUCAGCCCCGUCCCACUCCAACUAAAAUCAACCUGACAGACUUCCUUCCAGAGGAAGAUGUUGACUCUAAUGUAUUCUGUCUAGGAUGUGUUUCAUAAAUCUGGUUAGAAGAUUUCCCUUCCAGCAUCAACAAAUUGUUUUCUAAAUGUGGAAAAAGAGACAUUCAGUACAGGCUAACGUAACGUGGGACAGCAUGCAAAGCCAUGAGAAGUGGGAAAAUGAGAGAGAAUCUGGGCGUGGCUUACAGGGCUGCUGAAGUAAGACACACCCUUCGCUUCACCUGUGGCCUCCCGCGGCGGCUGCGGCUCCUUCGCAGGACCGGUAGGGGGCGCGCGCGGUUGAGUCCAGCAAUUGCGAGGACCUCCGCAGGCGCAGCCCAGCACUGACGCCUCUCCGGGCCGUGGCUCCUCUUUCCCAGGCCGAAAGCGGCCGGGCCCUCUGCUCCGCUGCGCCCUGGCGCGGCCGCACCCACUGCGCGUUUGUGAGCUGGCCAUCGGUCACACUGGGAUACUCGAGGAGGAGGCCUGGGGCCUGCAUUCAAUUCCCUAAGAGGGACCCGCGCUGGCCGCUGCAGGCGGGUGGAGAACGGGCGUCUGAGUCUUUGGCUUUCGUACCGGAAUCUCCCCGGGAGAUUUUACAAGCCCCUCCGAAUGUUCUGAUUGAAUUGGUCUGGGGGGGUCGGUCCGGGCAUCUAACGAGCAGCCGGGAUGGAGAAUUACUAGUCUGGAUUCUGGUCCUCAGAGGUUCACUCACGUUAAUCAACCCGAGUCCAUCUUGGUGGGAUUGUCUUGCUCCGAGGCCCUCCCACUGAGCUUUAUUUUCCUGCCUGAUUUCGGGGUCCGCUAACAGGAUGAACAGCGGACCAUACAGGCACGGUGAAAAUGACACUUGGUGACGUGGAAGACCCAGCUUGCCACAGUUGAGGCAGAGCUCCUCAGGGUCUUUUGUCUUAGUUAUCCCCGAGCUAUUUUUCAGGAACCGACAGGCUCCCCCACCCCAACACCGGAUGAAGGCCAGCAACUGGAGGCCAGGAAUAAUCAAGCACGCUCUCAUUUCAAAGAGGUGACGAUUGUGCCCGUGUUUAAAAGGGAUGCCUGAGACCAUGAGGAUUUGGAGUUUUGGAGGCGGAUCUGCCUUUGGGGAGUGAGCGUAGGGCCCUAAGAUGUGGUUGUGCUUUGAGACAGUUCCCAGGGUGAUGUGUCCCAUCAUCCAAACAUUGCAGGAUAAGUCAAAGUUACAGAAAGACUCUAGUUUACUUCCAGCCUAACAUUACCAAAAUACGGUAUUUGUCAGAAAACAUGUAGUAUUUGUAUAAUUUGAGAAUGUAAUUGAAGAACCCGAUAUAGAGCUUUUAGAAAGGGGAAAUAGAAAACUUAAAAAGAAUCUUGCUUGGUAUAUUAAUACCAACAUCUAAAAUAUAAUAAAAUUGAAUAAACCAGUGAGUUUUAUACUAUGAUUGAAAUAAAAUGCCACUAUGUUCUUAAGAGUGCUAGUUUAACAGGAAAUCUCCAAUGCAUUAUUAUCUAGACUCAUCUCAAAGGCUCACUUUUCAUUUGCAUGGGCCCUUGCUAUUUGUAGGGUAGGAGGCAGCACCUCGUUCUGGUGGCUGCCACCUUCAUGAGGAGACACUCCUUGUUAACAGGAUGGUUAGCCCACGGCUCUUCCCAGCCCCCUUUUCCACACCCAGUAAAUUGUUUUAGUUUAUGGCCCUCAGCUGCAGUUGCAAUCAUCAUCAAAUUCCAGUUUUGAAUUUAAAGGUGAAUAAUGAAUGCAAUGAACUUUCUAGAAUUUAUGAAGGGCAGUGAUGUUCCUUUUUAUCUAAUAAUUCUACAUGUGUAGCCUUUCAGUAUGCUAUUCUGUGGACUGAAUUUACAAAUUGUCAUUUGUUUAAUGAACUGUUAAUAUAACAUGAUGACUAACUGAAAACACAUACAAUUUGCUGGUAUUCCAGAAGUCUAUGGAUUUCGUUGUUUUGUUUAAAUAAAAGGCAUUAAAAGCAAAAAAAAAAAAAAAAA